CAGUAGCCACGGUAAUACGGAGGGUGCAAGCGUUAAUCGGAAUUACUGGGCGUAAAGCGUGCGUAGGCGGUUCGUUAAGUCUGUUGUGAAAGCCCCGGGCUCAACCUGGGAAUGGCAAUGGAUACUGGCGAGCUAGAGUGUGUCAGAGGAUGGUGGAAUUCCCAGUGUAGCGGUGAAACGCGUAGAGAUGUGGAGGAACACCAGUGGCGAAGGCGACUCUCUGGUCUGUAACUGACGCUGAGGAGCGAAAGCGUGGGGAGCGAACAGGAUUAGAUACCCGAGUAGUCCCUGUCUCUUAUAC
rnacentral:rRNA from 1 species